rnacentral:rRNA from 1 species
UACGGAGGGUGCGAGCGUUAUUCGGAAUUACUGGGCGUAAAGCGCACGCAGGCGGUUGCCCAAGUCAGAUGUGAAAGCCCCGGGCUUAACCUGGGAAUUGCAUUUCAGACUGGGAAUCUAGAGUACUUUAGGGAGGGGUAGAAUUCCACGUGUAGCGGUGAAAUGCGUAGAGAUGUGGAGGAAUACCGAAGGCGAAGGCAGCCCCUUGGGAAGAUACUGACGCUCAUGUGCGAAAGCGUGGGGAGCAAACAGG